GUCAUCUGACCAUGCUUCCUGCCAUCUGUAUGACUUCUCAUGCCAAGUGGUAGUGCAUGCAGCCAACCGUGCUGGCUCUAGUCUGUGUGAGGAUUCCUGCACUACAAGGGGAGCAGAGCACGGCAAUUUCAGUGUUUUUCAGAGAGAGAGUUCAACAGUCUUUAGCAGCAUCCUUUUGUACAAAAAAUGUUGAAUGACUGCUGUGAUCACAUUGCUGAUCACUGAUGAUCUUGACUCAGUUUAGAAUUCAAGUGACAAUCCAGAUGACAAAUAAAAAUGAGUUUCGGAGCCUUAAUUCCUAGGCACUAUCAGAUGCCAUGCUAUGACUGGCAAUGAGUUCUGGAUUUAUGUACCUCCCCAAGGAUUUAUAAUCUGCAUGGAUUUAGGACAGAGUUUUGUGCAUUUCAGUUAUUUUCACACUUUGAUUGCAAGUCUAAACAAUAUUCCUUGGGUAG